GAUGAACGCUGGCGGCGUGCCUAAUACAUGCAAGUCGAGCGAACGGACGAGAAGCUUGCUUCUCUGAUGUUAGCGGCGGACGGGUGAGUAACACGUGGAUAACCUACCUAUAAGACUGGGAUAACUUCGGGAAACCGGAGCUAAUACCGGAUAAUAUUUUGAACCGCAUGGUUCAAAAGUGAAAGACGGUCUUCUGUCACUUAUAGGUGGAUCCGCGCUGCAUUAGCUAGUUGGUUAGGUAACGGCUUACCAAGGCAACGAUGCAUAGCCGACCUGAGAGGGUGAUCGGCCACACUCGAACUGAGACACGGUCCAGACUCCUACGGGAGGCAGCAGUAGGGAAUCUUCCGCAAUGGGCGAAAGCCUGACGGAGCAACGCCGCGUGAGUGAUGAAGGUCUUCGGAUCGUAAAACUCUGUUAUUAGGGAAGAACAUAUGUGUAAGUAACUGUGCACAUCUUGACGGUACCUAAUCAGAAAGCCACGGCUAACUACGUG
rnacentral:rRNA from 1 species